UACGUAGGGUGCGAGCGUUAAUCGGAAUUACUGGGCGUAAAGCGUGCGCAGGCGGUUCGUUGUGUCGGCGGUGAAAGCCCCGGGCUCAACCUGGGAAUGGCCGUUGAAACUGGCGAACUGGAGUGUGGCAGAGGGGGGUGGAAUUCCGCGUGUAGCAGUGAAAUGCGUAGAGAUGUGGAGGAACACCGAUGGCGAAGGCAGCCCUCUGGGUCAAGAUUGACGCUCAUGCACGAAAGCGUGGGAGCAAACAGG
rnacentral:rRNA from 1 species